UAAAAUACUUAGACCCUACCGUAUGGAC
rnacentral:sRNA from 1 species